GCGGCCGCCCGGAGGCCAGCCGAGCGGCCAGGAGGGGGCCCCGGGCCAGCCCGGGCGGGGAGCCGUCAGCGGAGAGCAAGGCCAGGAGGAAGCGGUCGCCCUCCCUCCCCUGGAGCAUCCAGCCGGUGACAGAGAAGCUUCCGGUGCCCUCCGUGGAGUCUGUGGCUGGGGACCAGCUGCCCCCCGUACCACUUCUGUCGUCAAAGUCAUCGGGAAAAAGCUUCCUCCCUGCUGUGCCUGCGGCCUCGAAGAUAAGACCCAGCCUCAGUUUUCACGCAGGUACACAACCCAAAAAGGAGAUCUGAGUGUUGGGUUUUUUCUCUCUCUUCAGACUGCCCCUCCUCUCAAAUAUACAUCUUGAGAAAGCACGCCAGUCUAGGCCGUUAUCCGUGCUCCAAACCUGGGCGUGAGUGAGUUUCUGGUUUUCUUAGGCAAUGAAUCAGCCAGAGCCCCUGGUUCUGUGCAAAGUACUUGCAGGUGUGCUCAGUUCUGCUUCUGCUUGACCCGCCAAUGGAGCUGAAAAUAGCGAC
rnacentral:lncRNA from 1 species